GACGAACGCUGGCGGCGUGCCUAAUACAUGCAAGUCGAACGCAUUUUCUUUCACCGUAGCUUGCUACACCGAAAGAAAAUGAGUGGCGAACGGGUGAGUAACACGUGGGUAACCUGCCCAUCAGCGGGGGAUAACACUUGGAAACAGGUGCUAAUACCGCAUAAUUCCAUUUACCGCAUGGUAAAUGGAUGAAAGGCGCUUUUGCGUCACUGAUGGAUGGGCCCGCGGUGCAUUAGCUAGUUGGUGGGGUAACGGCCUACCAAGGCUGCGAUGCAUAGCCGACCUGAGAGGGUGAUCGGCCACACUGGGACUGAGACACGGCCCAGACUCCUACGGGAGGCAGCAGUAGGGAAUCUUCGGCAAUGGACGCAAGUCUGACCGAGCAACGCCGCGUGAGUGAAGAAGGUUUUCGGAUCGUAAAACUCUGUUGUUAGAGAAGAACAAGGAUGAGAGUGGAAAGUUCAUCCCUUGACGGUAUCUAACCAGAAAGCCACGGCUAACUACGUG
rnacentral:rRNA from 1 species